GAAUCUUGCGCAAUGAGCGAAAGCUUGACGCAGCGACGCCGCGUGCGGGAUGAAGGCCCUCGGGUUGUAAACCGCUUUCAGCAGGGACGAAAUUGACGGUACCUGCAGAAGAAGCCCCGGCCAACUACGUGCCAGCAGCCGCGGUAAUACGUAGGGGGCGGGCGUUGUCCGGAUUUAUGGGGCGUAAAGAGCUCGUAGGCGGUUCGGUAAGUCGGCUGUGAAAUCUCCACGCUCAACGUGGAGGGGUCAGUCGAAACUGCCGUGACUCGAGUCCGGUAGAGGAGUGUGGAAUUCCCGGUGUAGCGGUGAAAUGCGCAGAGAUCGGGAGGAACACCCGUAGCGAAGGCGGCACUCUGGGCCGGUACUGACGCUGAGGAGCGAAAGCGUGGGGAGCAAACAGG
rnacentral:rRNA from 1 species